GGGGAUUUAGCUCAAUGGUAGAGCGCUUGCCUAGCAAGCACAAGGCCCUGGGUUCGGUCCCUAGCUCCG
rnacentral:tRNA from 1 species